rnacentral:lncRNA from 1 species
UUUUUUGUAAGAAAAUCCCUUUUAUUUCACAGUAAAAAUCUGAAAUUACUUUCUCGCCAAUCCAUUAUGUCGCAGACAAAAGAACCUAGAACAAUCUUCUGGUUCAUCAGCUUCUAUCAAACUGUUUCAUCCAUUCCACUGUAGAAAACAAACAUCAAAUUCUGAUGACAGAUACAUAAAUAUUCUUUUAUUACUUGUUUCAGUCAUUUGACUGAGGCCAUGCUGGAGCACUGCCUUUAGUCGAGCAAAUCGAUCCCAAGACUUAUUCUUUGGAAGCCUAGUAUUUAUUCUAUAAGUGACUUUUUGCUGAACUGCUAAAUUACAUUUGUUGUCAAGCAAUGGUGGUGGGGGACAAAUACAGACACUGAUAUAUACAUGCAUAUAUAUAUACACAUAUAUAUAUAUAUAUAUACACACAUGGUCCAACCCAUGCUAGCAUGGAAAGCGGAUGUUAAACGACAUAUAUAUAUAUACAUACAUACAUACAUACAUACAUACACUGGGUGGUUGUUGUAAGGAAGGGCCUCCAGCUGUAAAAACUGUACCAAAACAGACACAGCGAAGUCUGAAGUAGUCUUCUGCCUGGUCAGCUCCUAUCAAACCAUCCAACCUAUAUACUGGCUGGAAGGCAAACAUUAAACGAUGGUGAUGAUGAUCACACAUUAGACAUGUACAUACAUAUUCAUUAAGUGACACUGAGUCAGUUACAAAGACAAUUUGUUCCAGUUGAUCUGACCUUCACAGCCUGCUCAUGAAGUUAACACACAAGUGGUUGAGGACUCCAUACACAUGUAUAAAUGCCUUAUAUAAUAAUGACAAAACAUCGAUGUCUGUUGCUCUGAGAAGGGACCUAUGUGAGUUGUCUAGCUUCACUAUGACUUACUUUCGGAUUCUGUUGUGUCUGGGGAGAGUCAUUUUCUUUUUGCAUUUUAUAAUGUAACACACUCACCACUAAAAUUUCCACUUAUUUCUUAUUUUCCUAAAAUUUCCGUUGUGUCUUGCAACCUUUUCAAUAGUCUUGACUCUUGAAAAGUUUUAGGAAAAUAAAAAUAAGAAAUAAGUGGAAAUUUUACCAGUGAGUGUGUUACAUUAUAAGGCACAAAAAGAAAAUGACUCUCCCCAGACACAACAGUUCUGGCUUUAUGUUUUCCUCUUGGUAGUUUUCAGGACACUGUUACUACAAUCUGCUCCUUUUCCCUGAUUAUAAUUAAGAAUAGACAAAGUGAGCUUUCACUUGUCCAAGUUUAUCAUUCACAUAAGAGGUAAGGAGAAAUUAUUGAUUAUGUGUGAAAUAAAUUGUUCAAGAAGAAAAUAUGAUCUGAAUACAAGAAAUUAAAUCCCCCAUAGUAUUUAUGUUUUGUAGGUAGACCAUUAUCUUUAUUGAUUUACAACUAUUUUGAUGAGUUGGAAGGUUUUGAAAUAUGCUUCAACACACAAACUCAUAUAAAGAAUCUUGCAAACCAAACCCAAAAACGAAAUUACUCUUGGAUUGUUAUACUUUUCCUACACCAGGUGGAGAAUAUAUUCUCUUACUCCUAAAAAGAUAGCCAACUCAUGAACUAACAACACACAUACCCUGAGUAUAUGUGUUGGAUUUUGUCCAUGCUGGUGGCACAUAAAAAGCACCAUUCGAACAUGGUUGAUGCGAGUGGCAGCUGACCAGUCCUGUGCUGGUGGCACAUAAAAAGCCCCAUUCAAGCAUGGUUGAUGCCAGUACUGGCCGACUGGCCCUCGUGCCCGUGGCAUGUAAAAAGCACCCGCUACACACUCGGAGUGGUUGGCGUUAGGAAAGACAUCCAACUGUAGAAACUUUGAUCGGAUUGGAGCUUGGUAGAGCCUUCUGGGUUGCUGGCCGUCAGUCAAACCGUCCAACCCAUGCCAGCAUGGAAAGCGGACAUUAAACAAGGACGAUGAUGAUCUCAAGAUGCGUCUGAUUUAUAUUUGAAUUUUUGUUAUAUAUAUCGAGGCACUCUGUUGCUCUGAUCAACGGAACAGCCUGCUCGUGAAAUUAACGUGUAAGUGGCUGAAUACUCCACAGACACGUGUACCCUUAAUGUAGUUCUCAGGGAGAUUCAGCAUGACAGAAAGAGUGACAAAGCAGGCCACUUUGAAAUACAGGUACAACAGAAACAGGAAGAAAGAGUGAAAGAAAGUUGUGGUGAAAGAGUACAGCAGGGUUCACCACCAACCCCUGCUAGAGCCCAGUGGAGUUUUAAGUGUUUUCACUGAAUAAACACUCACAACGUCUGGUCCGCUACCCUAACCACUGGGCCAUUGUGCUUCCCUAUAUAUAUAGGCGCAGGUGUGGCUGUGCGGUAAGAAACUUGUUUCCUCACCACGUGGUUCUGGGUCCAGUCCCACCAAGGGGCAUCUUGGGGAAACGUCUUCUAUAACCUUGUGCCAACCAAAGCCCUGUGAGUGGAUUUGAAGCCUGUUGUAUAUAUAUGUCUUUGCCCCACCCCCAUUUGAGUGUUGGUGUGUUUACUUCCCUGCAACUUAGCAGUUCUGCAAAAGAGACUGAUAGAAUAAGUACUAGGUUUAAAAAAAAAAAAGUUCUGGAUUCAAUUUGUUCAACUAAAACCCUUUAAGGUGGUGCCCCAGUAUGGCUGCAGUCAAAUGACUGAAACAAGUCAAUGAAUGUAUGUAUAUACAGCCACUUUUCCAUGCUCACCACUGUUGAACAGAAUUUGUUGCUAAUUUUUCUUCAACCAGAUCUGUUUCCCAUCACGAACCCUCCCAUUGGUUUCCAAGGUAAUAUUUCCCCAUGAUCAGACAUGCUUUUAAAGAAGAUUGAAAAUGAAGGAAACCGCUUGUAUGACGGUGAUGCUUGGUGACAUCUAUUACACAACAUCAAUGCAAGUAGACGCAUCACACAGAGAGAGGCUUCUUUCAGUUUCCGUCUACAUAAUUCGCUCACAAGGCUUCAGUUAAAGUCUAAGUAGAAGACAGUUGCUGAAGGAGUGAAACUAAGCCUGAAACCUAUGGUUGGAAACAGAACUUAAUUAAUUAAUUAAUCAAUCACAAAGCCAUGUCUGCAACCAAAAAUGUACACAUAGUUACAUACAAAAUACCUGUCCCCCACUCAAACAUAAAACCAUAAAUCCUUAGAAUCUUUCAUUCUUCCUUCUAUGAAUUACCACCAUUUCACAAAUUCAGAACCUGGCUAACUCAUUUCGUCCAACUCUACUCCUUUGCUAAUGAAACAAAAAAAAAGCUACCAUACCAAACUCCUCCAGGAUAGUACCACUGUGGGAGUAAGUAGUGUAUAUUAACAAGUGGAGGCGCAAUGGCCCAGUGGUUAGGGCAGCGGACUCGCGGUUUCAAUUCCCAGACCGGGCGUUGUGAGUGUUUAUUGAGCGAAAACACCUAAAGCUCCACGAGGCUCCGGCAGGGGAUGAUGGUGAUCCCUGCUGUACUCUUUCACCACAACUUUCUCUCACUCUUACUUCCUGUUUCUGUUGUACCUGUAUUUCAAAGGGCCGGCCUUGUCACGCUGAAUAUCCCCGAGAACUACGUUAAGGGUGCACGUGUCUGUGGAGUGCUCAGCCACUUACACGUUAAUUUCACGAGCAGGCUGUUCCGUUGAUUCGGAUCAACCGGAACCCUCGUCGUCGUAACCGACGGAGUGCUUCCAUACAUAAGUAUAUUAACAAGGAAUAAUUCAUCAAGCUAUCUCCAGAGUCCCAAAAUGUUCCACCCAUUAUUAUCAUCAUCAAGGCGGUCCUGUCCCCUCAAAAUAUCAGACUUUAUGCCUUUCGUAGAAAGGUUUAUUAUUGGGUUGGUGCAUAAUUCUGGCUUUUUUUUCCAACAAAAACAUCUUUAAAUGGUUAUUCUGGAGCAUAUUCACCAUCUACUUCGAUUACUGCUUCCCAAUUUGCUUGGCAGUCAGACGGUCAUUUAAAGAUGUUUUUGUCAAAUAUUGCUGUUUUCAUUGAAUAAAAUUUGUUGAAAAAUAGCCACAGUAAUUAAUGCACCAACCAAAUAUUAUUAUCAUUAUGGCGGUGAGCUGGCAGAAUCGUUAGCGUGCUGGACGAAAUGCUUAGCAGUAUUUCCAUCCCUCGCUACGUUCCGAGUUCAAAUUCCACCGAAGUUGACUUUGCCUUUCAUCCUUCCGGGGUCAAUAAAUUAAGCACCAGUGAAAAACUGGGGUCGAUGUAAUCGAAUUAAUCCCUUCCCCACCAAAUCUGAGGCCUUGUGCUUCAAUUAGAAAAGAUCAUCAUUAUUAUUAUUGUUAACCCUUUAGUGUUCAGAUUACUCUGUUAAAUGUAAUACUUUUCCACUCGAAUUGUUUUGAAUUAAUCCUGGAUCAUCUUACAGCUUUGAGGUUUCAAUGAUGUGAUUACUUAUUUUCAGAAUGGCAUUGUAGGUUAGCUGUGAGAGGCUAGAUAUGGCCAGUUUGAAUAUAAAAUAUGUAGAAUAUAUUGGGCCGGAUUUGGCCAGUUUAAACACUAAAGGGUCAAGGUGGCAAGCUGGCAGAAUCGUUAGCACAUCAGGGAAAAUGCUCAGCAGCGUUCCACCCAUCUUUUUAUGUUCUGAGUUAAAAUUCUGCUGAGGUCAACUUUGCCUUUCAUCCUUUCGGUGGCUGAUAAAACAAGUAGUAGUUGAACACAGAUCGAUGUAAUCAACUUAAACCCUCCUCAAAAUUGCUGGCCUUGUGCCAAAAUUUGAAAAUAUUAUUAUUAUUAUAAUAUAUUUUUUGGCUGGCAAGACUUAAAUGAAAGUAACAUUAUUUGAUGGAAAAACGAAAGAGCACAAAGUAUGGCUGUCCUCUCCACCUGUGUCCUGACUGAACAGGAAAUAUUUCUAGGGUGGACGGAAGUUUAAUGUACUCUCUUUACCCUUUUACUUGUUUCAGUCAUUUGACUGUGGCCAUGCUGGAGCACCACCUUUAGUCGAGCUAACUGACACCCAGGACUUAUUCUUUGUAAGCCCAGUACUUAUUCUAUCGGUCACUUUUUGCUGAACCGCUAAGUUGCGGGGGACAUAAACACACAUACUCAAACAUAUACACACAUAUGACGAGCUUCUUUCAGUUUCCGUCUACCAAAUCCACUUGCCCAAGGUGCCACGCAGUGGGACUGAACUCGGAACCAACUGUGUGGUAAGCAAGCUACUUACCACACAGCCACUCCUACGCCUAGUGAAAGAACAUGAAUUUCAGAACAUUUGAUGUUGAAAUGCCAAUGUGAUGAUUAAGAAGCACGUUUUCCAUCUCUGCAAGUUUUAGAUAUAGUCCACACAGCAUGACACCUUGGACAUUGUAGCUGUGAGCCAAGGAGAUCAUUCGAGUGGAUUCACUAGACAAACACGUAAUAUUUGUGAAUGAGCAUCAACUGUCUUACAAGUGAUAUAGGAAACAUGGCAACAGGGUGGACAUCUGGCUGUAGAGAAAUUUCCCCAACCAGUAAUAACCACCAUAUCUGACCUAUGCAACCAUGGAUAAACGGACGUUCAAACUGUGACAAUGAAUUUGGUCUGCUAAACACUAAAUUUGCUUCACCAGCAUUCUAGUCUUUCAAACUCCUAGAAACAGCAGUCAAAUUUCCCUCAAAUCACAUCCUACUGUCUGAAAAGAAAAAGAUAGUGAAUGAUUAGGUCACAACUAGAAUAUUGUUUGAGUUUCUGUUCAGUUUUUCAAUCGUGUUUCACAAAACGGAUGCAACAAUUGCUAAGAGUUAAACCACACAACUCGGGUAUCAUUGACCACAAGUUGUAUGGAAUUCAUUAGAGACUUUAAGCAAGAUACUAGACACGGUAAAACCAAAGAUGGGUAUUCCAGUCUUCCGUCUGGUUUUUUCAAUAACUCUUCUGCAUGACAUGGAGCACGAAAUGUGUUCAGAAACUCUCAAGACUUCGUGCUUUUCAGGUUCUCCAUUAUAAAAUGUCUAAAAACUGCCAACUCACAAGAGAGUCCGAUCUGGAGAGAUUGACGCACCAAAUCAGUUUCGCCAUAACUUUCUGAAAAAGAUUUUUGAAUGAAUUUUUACAGGGACAAGUUAUCUGAGGGUUGAAGGUUAAAAUAUGUUGCUAGAUAUGAAGGGAGGGAGGGAAACGCCAAGGAACUUUCCAGACUUCUCCCGACUUUUCAAUUUUCAUAAAUCAAAUUUUGCUGAGGGACGUUUUCGACAGUGAAAAUGAAAAAAAAACCGUAACGCUUGUAUCAUAAAAGAAAUGAAAACUUUAAAGUUACGGAAAUUAAAAAAGAAAAAAAAAAAGGCAGUGGUGGGGGAAUUGAGAAUUAUCUGAACUUCCAAUUUGUAAUCUCCUCCCUCAAAAACUUAUUUCAGCAGAGUUUCAUUGAAAAAUAUGCAAUUUUCAAAAAGUUAUGAAGAAACAAAAUUAGAGGAAUGAAUUUAUAGUUAUAUACCCAGGUAAGAAUCAGCAAGCUUCUCGCCCUUAAGUCACACUCUUUGUGUUUGGAACAAAACUGACGCUUAGGGUCAGUUAUGACUGAACAGACUUGUGAACAAAGACCACUCAUGGACUAAAUUUGUCCAUUUUUCCUCCCCAAGACAGCUGGGUGUGAUUUUAAAGACCACGCAACUACAGACAUGCUGUUUCCUUUCUUGUAUUACAAAUUAGGUGGUAGUAGCUUAAACUGUGGACACAGAUUCCUAUAAAGCAUUCGAGAUGCGGAUAUAUAAGAGAAGGUACAUAGACUACACAUACUAUACAAAAUAAAAAGGAAAAGGAAGAACUAUCGGUGGAAGAAAAGAGCAGAGAAGAGACUGGUUCCUCUCCCAUUUUUUUUUUUUUUUGGAUAUUCCUGUUUCAUACAACGGAUAUAACGAUUCUGAAAUUACUUUUCCCUCAAUUUAAAAAAAAAAACCCCCAUUUCCUUCAAAAUCUCGUGCAUUUUUUGCCUUCAUUUAUUCUAAAACAGAAAGGUUGGUAGGUCGUGGUUGGAACCUGCUGGAGCAGAGAGAAAAAGCAUCUUGUCCAUUACAACGGAGGACUCAAACACGCAAGCAACCACCCUCUACCGUUUUCCCCACACCUGGGUAGCCUUUAAAGCUGUGCUAUCCUCCAGAAAGGAGCCGGAAUUUCCUCAAAUCACACCUUGUUUCAAAAAAACAUUUAGCUGUUAUGUAUUCAACAUAUGCAUUUCCUAUGUGGGUAGCCUCUAAAAGCAAAUGGUUCAACAUGUUGGCGACUCCACACCCAGGCGUUCUUGGCAUACUAUACUGCAUAUACACACACACGUGUGUGUGUGUGUGUGUGUAUGUGUA